ensembl:misc_RNA 7SK 7SK RNA
GAAAGCGAUCUGGCUGCAACAUCUGUCACCCCAUUGAUUGCAAGGAUUGUUUUGGCUGAUCUGGCUGGGAAGGCUGGUGUCCCAUUCCUCCCUCAACGCUCCUUGUGCAUCCCUCCCAAAGCUGCACGCACUUGGUAGAAGAGGAUGGCUUUCCCCGAAAAGAGAUGACCAGUCUUCAGUCCAGGGUAUAUGAGUAGCUGCGCUCCCCUGCUAGAACCUCCAAACAAGCUCACAGCAAUGUAAAUACGCUUAAUAAAAAUGGUUACAGGGGGCUGGAGCGAUAGCACAGAGGAUAGGGUGCUUGCCUUGCAUGUGGCC